CCCGAAGUACUCCGUUAUGAUGGUGAGGAGGUUCUGUGUGGAGCACAACCUUCGAAGAAGAAAUCUAGUUUCGCCGGCUCCCAUGGGAAACAAUAAAGCUGCCCAUUGUAGAAUGCGAGAGACUCGAUGGAACGUUUGAAACGUCUUUAUAUGUAUUAUUAAUAUUUAUUUUUAAACAACCUCUUGCCUACAGAGCAAGCGUCUCUAUCGAUUGGGCCACGGCCACGGUGACCACACUGUAGGAACUGGAUUUACUAAUAUAUAUCGAUAUGACGCUACAACUAACAACAAAUGAGAGGAGAACUCCUCAAAGCAGAUCUGUGCUAAACUGAUUUGGUCUGCUUGUCUUGUUCAGCGAUUGGGCGCAAACACUUCAAAUGCAUUGGCUGAGAGAAAAGAAGGGCAGAGAUUAUUAGCAUACUAGAGAGACGCCGUACUUUACGGCGUUGUGAUGUGCACAAAAGCGCCGUAUUUUACGCGCGGUUUGAUGUUCAAAACGGCGCUUUUUACACGCGGUCUUGAAAGGCUUAAUUGCGGCGUAUAAAGCGGCGCUUUUUUGCGCAUGACGGCGUAAAAUAAGGCGUUUUUCUACAUUUUACGGCGUUUUUUACGGCGUAAUGAAGGUGAUACGCGUCUAAAUGAUGCCGUUUUCUGGCGGGGAUGGCUUGCCAUAGGAUAGGAUCUGUGCACGAACUCCCUUGCACUACAGAUUACGAGCGUCAGUGUCGUACGCGAUGGAGGGUGGGUGACAUUCCUACAGUCUGUGAUGAUAGGCUAUAUUUCUACAAAUGACUUACUAUUACUAGCGAUUAACAUGACGAAACAACACGAACUAAGCUAACAUUAGACUAUAGCCAUACCAGAUAACGCCAUACCAGCUAACCCUAACUAUUUCUAUUAAACUCUGAUCCAUUUUGCAACAGGCAA